rnacentral:rRNA from 1 species
GUGAGGAAUAUUGGUCAAUGGGCGAGAGCCUGAACCAGCCAAGUCGCGUGAAGGAUGAAGGUUUUAUGAAUUGUAAACUUCUUUUGCAGGGGAAUAAAGUACGGUACGUGUACCGUUUUGUAUGUACUCUGCGAAUAAGGAUCGGCUAACUCCGUGCCAGCAGCCGCGGUAAUACGGAGGAUCCAAGCGUUAUCCGGAUUUAUUGGGUUUAAAGGGUGCGCAGGCGGGUUGAUAAGUCAGCGGUGAAAGUUUGCAGCUUAACUGUAAAAUUGCCGUUGAAACUGUCGAUCUUGAGUGCAAAUGAGGUAAGCGGAAUGUGUUGUGUAGCGGUGAAAUGCUUAGAUAUAACACAGAACACCGAUUGCGAAGGCAGCUUGCCAAACUGUCACUGACGCUGAUGCACGAAAGCGUGGGGAUCGAACAGGAUUAGAAACCCCUGUAGUCC